UCUCCUGCAACAGCAUGAUCCAAUUUAUUGGUUUGCUUGUUGCCAUCCAGCUUUAGUCCAAAGUGGAUAUGAGGGAAAUGUGCCCACUGCCAAAACAUACAGUAAAAUACACAAAAGGUUAGUUAUUAAAUUUUUCAGAUACAUUAAAGCUUUUACUCACACUAUUCUAUUACAGUAAAAUACACAAAAGGUUAUUAAAUUCUUCAGAUACAUAGUAAAAGCUUUAUUUAGUCACAUUAUUCUAUUUAGUGCCUCUUUUGUUUGACCCUACCAUAAAUUUCUUGUGGAAAGUCUCAAAAUAUCCACAUAUAUAGUAGGCCUAAAAUUACUGAGUUGGAGUAAAUACCAGUAAGCUAAAACUCAAGGAAGUAUGGAAAACAAAUUCUACAAGUGGCAUUUUACGUUAUUUCUAUCCUUCAACACAUUUCGUCUUCACCCCAUCGACCUUCCAUAGUAUUUGUUUAGAUUAUAUACAAAUUAGUUUCAGGAUAAUAUUUUCUUGAUUACGUAUAAACACAAAAAAGGGUAAGAAACAUGCUUAUUUUCCUAGACAAUAUUUAUCAUUAUAUAUCAAAUACACCCUACAUCCAGUCUUCACGUAUUUACUUUAAUUUUUGAAUAUUAGUAAUACAGUUUUGGUCUAGUUUAAUUUUCAUUUUCAUUUUCUUCAUAUGGCAGCCUAUAAAUCCACACAGCAAAGGUUAUUUUGAGCUGAAAUAAUUAUUUUCAAUUCUCAUGUAUGAAAAUAUCAGUGUACGUAUUUUUAUUUUUAAAUCUAGGUACAUAUAGAUCGAUAGGUAGCUUACAUUUUUGGCAGCAGUGCUAAAAGCUUCUCUGUGGCUAAUAUCAGGAUUGCUUGCCUUUAUCCUUUGGAUCUCCUCCCUAUACACAUUGAAUUAAUUCACAACAUCAUAGAGGAUAUAUUUAUGCAUAAGUAAAUACACACAUUAAUUUCUUACUUGACAAUAUGCUAGUUACAAUAUUUUGUACUUACUUGAUAAAUCUGUUGUAGGCAGAAGGAACACGUUGUCUUUUCUCCGGUGCUGCAAAGUUUUCAACAAACAUUUGAACACAUGAUUUCACUAGUGCAAUGCUGAGUUUUCCCAGGUAAGACUUUGAAGGUCGAACCCUUUCUUAAGUGGGGGGUGGGGUCGCAGUGCCAGAGCCAGGAUUUUCUCUAAAGGGUUCAUAAGUACUGAACAUACGAACUAAUCGAAGAGGGUUCAAAGUCUACUAUAUAUACAUAAAAAAAAAAAAUUUAACAAUGUAUAUAUAGCAUUGUUUUCCCGAACCCCCUAGCCCAAGGGUAGCUCCGCUCAUGGGUGGGGGGUAAGGGUCAGGAGCAUGUAAGAAUAAUAUAUACCGACUGCUACGUAAGCCACUAGCUAAUGGCUGAGAGGAAGCGAGCAACAUCUUGUAUUGGUUGGAUGGAACUUAAAGAAACAAGCCCCUAUUAGAGAAAGUCAUUGCGAGCUAGUCUAGCUAUCUAACGUUUUUCGGCUGGCUGUUAUGCAAUUAUAUUCAAAUUAUGAAUCUAGCUUUAGGGAAAAAAAAAAGAAUCUAAUUUUAGAGUUCGAUCAGAUGAUAUGCUUUUAAGACGACUUGUGAUAACAUUAGUUUGUUAUAUAGUGACAUAAUUUUAUUGUCUUAAACCAUGAAAUUUUAUGCACAAUAAGGCAUAUGUUAGUUUAAAGAAUUAUAAUGUCACUGUCUCAAGAUUUUGGAUUGGUAGAUUGGAUGGUCAGAUUUUUUCUUUUAAACUAAGUGUUGGUAAAUUACAUAGAUUUCAUGUCUCCAAAAAUCUAAAGAUGUUUUAACCAACAUAAGUACUCAUCUUCUUACCAGCAUGAAUUAUGGUGGAUGUUUGAGAUCUAUCAACCCUUAGCCAGAUACCUCGGGUUAAUUCAAAAAACCUA
rnacentral:lncRNA from 1 species